UUAUUAUUUCACUUUGAAUUCCCAUAUAUAUUACUUUUCUAAAUAACCCUGAUAGUGUAGAUUUAGAUAGAGGUGAUGGUGCUGAUGAUGAUUUAGGCAGUGAUGGUUACAAGAUUGUUAAUAAAGGAAGCUGUACAACCCCCCACUAAUAAUCAAAGCUAUGGCUUUUCUGGGCAGUUGGUGAAAUCUAUGCAUUUGCCUAUAGCACGGGUCACGUGGUGCAGGACCCAGAAAACAUUGUUGCUCACCAAUUAGGCAGUAAUAAUGUUAAAUAAUUCUAAAGUAACAAUUUUAAGUAGGAACUGCGUUUCCAUCAACGGUUCUAUAACUUGGCCUGUGUUUAUUACGGUAACAAAGAAAAAAGGUGUCUGUUGAUAGAGACAUCCUGAUGUUAUGUUAGCGUAAACUGAUGACAACAAUGUAAAACCAUUAAAUUGCUG